UACGUAGGGUGCAAGCGUUGUCCGGAAUUAUUGGGCGUAAAGAGCUCGUAGGCGGCCUGUCGCGUCGGCUGUGAAAACCCGAGGCUCAACCUCGGGCCUGCAGUCGAUACGGGCAGGCUAGAGUUCGGUAGGGGAGACUGGAAUUCCUGGUGUAGCGGUGAAAUGCGCAGAUAUCAGGAGGAACACCGGUGGCGAAGGCGGUUCUCUGGGCAGUUACCUGACGCUGAGGAGCGAAAGUGUGGGGAGCGAACAGG
rnacentral:rRNA from 1 species